UUCGUGGAAGAGAGCCAAAGCGUUCCGAGAAGUCUGGCACUAGGAGGAGGCUUUGAUCUUGAACCAAAUUAGCACCUCAGCAAAUUUCAGGGAAUAUUUUUUAUUAACUUCUCACUUCAAUUCUUAAUUUCAGAGAAGGAAUACGUUCUACUCCAAGGAAUAUUCGAUGAAAGUCUCCCAUCGAAGGAUGCCCUCCCGCAGACGAUUGAUUACUUUCCUGGAAAAUGGCGACUCCUUUGCCAAGCAGCCCUCGCCCCACCGCCCCUCUGCCGCGUGGAGUGCAGUUUUUGCUAAAAUUUCGGAUAAAUGCAGAAAGGUUAGACCGGGGCCAGGACUCUCAGAACUUUGGCUUACCAAAAUGGCUCGCACAUAAAACACACGCCCCAACACGCCAUUCAGUAUGGAAAAGUUUCGGUAGAGAGAGCCCCUGCCAAAGAGAACUUUUCGGCAAAUAUGUGGCAAAAGCCUUUGCGUUUUUUUUUCGAAAUAGGAGCAAAACCAAAGCUCGAUAAUCUCCCCGGCCAGUGUAUAGAAACAUUAAUAACAUUAGCUGGGGGUCCCUGGGCCCCCCCCUCCCCCCUGAAAGCCGAAACGAAACCGAAACAAAUGCAAAACAAACUAAUCAAACUUUUGGGUGGACAAGCAUCCUGCAGGAUAACCGAAAAACACAAAAUAAAUUGCUUUAUUUUCUAA